rnacentral:rRNA from 1 species
CGAACUCUGGCGGCGUGCUUAACACAUGCAAGUCGAACGGAAAGGCCCUGCUUUUGUGGGGUGCUCGAGUGGCGAACGGGUGAGUAACACGUGAGUAACCUGCCCUUGACUUUGGGAUAACUUCAGGAAACUGGGGCUAAUACCGGAUAGGAGCUCCUGCUGCAUGGUGGGGGUUGGAAAGUUUCGGCGGUUGGGGAUGGACUCGCGGCUUAUCAGCUUGUUGGUGGGGUAGUGGCUUACCAAGGCUUUGACGGGUAGCCGGCCUGAGAGGGUGACCGGCCACAUUGGGACUGAGAUACGGCCCAGACUCCUACGGGAGGCAGCAGUGGGGAAUAUUGCACAAUGGGCGGAAGCCUGAUGCAGCAACGCCGCGUGCGGGAUGACGGCCUUCGGGUUGUAAACCGCUUUCGCCUGUGACGAAGCGUGAGUGACGGUAAUGGGUAAAGAAGCACCGGCUAACUACGUG